rnacentral:rRNA from 1 species
GACGAACGCUGGCGGCGUGCUUAACACAUGCAAGUCGAACGAAGUGGCGAACGGGUGAGUAACGCGUCAUCAACCUGCCCUUCAGAGGGGGACAACAGGUGGAAACGACCGCUAAAACCGCAUACUGAAGGAGGGGAUUGCGUUUGAUUAGCUAGUUGGAGGGGUAACGGCCCACCAAGGGGAUGAUCAGUAGCCGGUCUGAGAGGAUGAACGGCCACAUUGGGACUGAGACACGGCCCAGACUCCUACGGGAGGCAGCAGUGGGGAAUCUUCCGCAAGGGACGAAAGUCUGACGGAGCAACGCCGCGUGAGUGAUGACGGCCUUCGGGUUGUAAAGCUCUGUUAAUCGGGACGCGGUAUCUAACCAGAAAGCCACGGCUAACUACGUGCCAGCAGCCGCGGUAAUUC